GAAAAAAGUACAGUCGAUGCUCCGGGCCAAAACCCUUCGGCAGGACUGGAGAAAGAAGAUGAGGAGUAAAUUUAAAAGGAACAUCUCCUGAAGCAAGGCCACGGAGGUGAAUUGAGGUAUACACUGAGGACUGCUCCAGCACCAGAGUGAUUAACUGAACACGGAGAAGGACUGCUUCAUGAGCAGAGAAGGAGGUAAUCAGUUGAAGAGCUCCUUGCUCAUCUUUGACCUCAUGCCACGAAAUCCCAUGGGGUGUGGAAUCGAUGUAGAUCUCUCCUGUGAUUGCACCCUACCACCUACGUGCUUGUAUUUCUACUCCUGGCACACAGGCUGAUGCUACAGAGCCUGUGAUGAAGACCAUGAAGGCAUGGCCAAGGGAGGUGGAGGGUCACUUACAGGACUGCUUUGAAUCAGUGGACUUGACCAUACUCACGGAUUCAUGAUUGUUUUCACUUUGAUGCGAAAGAGUCUUUUUCUAUUGGUCAGUGUCAAAAAAAGCCAAACUAAAUCCACUGUGAUUCAAUGUUGUAAAACAAUAAAACCAGAAAAAUUCUCGGGGGAAGGGGGAUGUGAAUGCUUUUUA